GACGAACGCUGGCGGCGUGCUUAACACAUGCAAGUCGAACGCUGAAGCUCAGCUUUUGUUGGGUGGAUGUGUGGCGAACGGGUGAGUAACACGUGAGAAACCUGCCUCCUUCUUUGGGAUAACGUCCGGAAACGGGUGCUAAUACUGGAUAUACACUGGUCUUCGCAUGGGGGAUGGGGGAAAGGGUUUUUCUGGGGGGGGGUGGGCUCGCGGCCCGCCAGCUUGUUGGGGGGGUGAUGGCCUACCAAGGCUUUGACGAGGGGCCGGCCUGAGAGGGUGCCCGGGAACUUUGGCGCUGAGAUGGGGACUAGACUCCUCCGGAGGGCAGUAGUGGGGACAAUUGCACAAUGGGUGGCAGACUGAUGCAGCGCCGGCGCCUGCGGGAUGGCGGCCGUCGGGUUGUGCUCCUCUUUCGAUACUUGUCUGGCCGCAACAGUGGUUAUGGUGACGGUACUGGGUAAAAAAGCGCCGGCUAACUACGUG
rnacentral:rRNA from 1 species